UACGUAGGGGCAAGCGUUGUCCGGAUUUAUUGGGCGUAAAGAGCGUGUAGGCGGUCAGGUAGGUCCGUUGUGAAAACUCGAGGCUCAACCUCGAGACGCCGAUGGAAACCAUCUGACUAGAGUCCGGAAGAGGAGAGUGGAAUUCCGUGGUGUAGCGGUGAAAUGCGCAGAUAUCAGGAAGAACACCCGUGGCUAAGGCGGCUCUCUAGUACGGUACUGACGCUGAGACGCGAAAGCGUGGGGAGCGAACAGG
rnacentral:rRNA from 1 species